rnacentral:rRNA from 1 species
AUUGAACGCUGGCGGCAUGCUUUACACAUGCAAGUCGAGCGGCAGCGCGGGGGCAACCCUGGCGGCGAGCGGCGAACGGGUGAGUAAUGCAUCGGAACGUACCCUGGAGUGGGGGAUAACGCCGCGAAAGCGGCGCUAAUACCGCAUAUGCUCUGAGGAGGAAAGUGGGGGACCGCAAGGCCUCACGCUCUGGGAGCGGCCGAUGUCCGAUUAGCUAGUUGGUGGGGUAAAGGCUUACCAAGGCGACGAUCGGUAGCUGGUCUGAGAGGAUGAUCAGCCACACGGGGACUGAGACACGGCCCAGACUCCUACGGGAGGCAGCAGUGGGGAAUAUUGGACAAUGGGGGCAACCCUGAUCCAGCCAUGCCGCGUGAGUGAAGAAGGCCUUCGGGUUGUAAAGCUCUUUCGGCCGGGAAGAAAUCGCACGGGCUAAUACCCUGUGUGGAUGACGGUACCGGAAUAAGAAGCACCGGCUAACUACGUGCCAGCCGCCGCGGUAAGAC